rnacentral:rRNA from 1 species
AGCGUAGACGGUUUGGCAAGUCUGAAGUGAAAGCCCGGGGCUCAACCCCGGGACUGCUUUGGAAACUGUCAAACUAGAGUGCAGGAGAGGUAAGCGGAAUUCCUAGUGUAGCGGUGAAAUGCGUAGAUAUUAGGAGGAACACCAGUGGCGAAGGCGGCUUACUGGACUGUAACUGACGUUGAGGCUCGAAAGCGUGGGGAGCAAACA